rfam:Rattus norvegicus chromosome 13, whole genome shotgun sequence.
GUCAGGAUGGCUGAGCAGUCUAAGGUACUGUGUUCAGGUUGCAGUCUCCCUUGGAGGCGUGGGUUCGAAUCCCACUUCUGACA